rnacentral:rRNA from 2 species
UGAGUGAAGAAGGGUUUCGGCUCGUAAGCUCUGUUGUUAAAGAAGAACACGUAUGAGAGUAACUGUUCAUACGUUGACGGUAUUUAACCAGAAAGUCACGGCUAACUACGUGCCAGCAGCCGCGGUAAUACGUAGGUGGCAAGCGUUAUCCGGAUUUAUUGGGCGUAAAGAGAGUGCAGGCGGUUUUCUAAGUCUGAUGUGAAAGCCUUCGGCUUAACCGGAGAAGUGCAUCGGAAACUGGAUAACUUGAGUGCAGAAGAGGGUAGUGGAACUCCAUGUGUAGCGGUGGAAUGCGUAGAUAUAUGGAAGAACACCAGUGGCGAAGGCGGCUACCUGGUCUGCAACUGACGCUGAGACUCGAAAGCAUGGGUAGCGAACAGGAUUAGAUACCCUGGUAGUCCAUGCCGUAAACGAUGAGUGCUAGGUGUUGGAGGGUUUCCGCCCUUCAGUGCCGGAGCUAACGCAUUAAGCACUCCGCCUGGGGAGUACGACCGCAAGGUUGAAACUCAAAGGAAUUGACGGGGGCCCGCACAAGCGGUGGAGCAUGUGGUUUAAUUCGAAGCUACGCGAAGAACCUUACCAGGUCUUGACAUCUUGCGCCAACCCUAGAGAUAGGGCGUUUCCUUCGGGAACGCAAUGACAGGUGGUGCAUGGUCGUCGUCAGCUCGUGUCGUGAGAUGUUGGGUUAAGUCCCGCAACGAGCGCAACCCUUGUUACUAGUUGCCAGCAUUAAGUUGGGCACUCUAGUGAGACUGCCGGUGACAACCGGAGGAAGGUGGGGACGACGUCAGAUCAUCAUGCCCCUUAUGACCUGGGCUACACACGUGCUACAAUGGACGGUACAACGA